rnacentral:rRNA from 1 species
CUACGGGUGGCUCCAGUGAGGAAUAUUGCACAAUGGGGGGAACCCUGAUGCAGCAACGCCGCGUGGAGGAUGACGCAUUUAGGUGUGGAAAAAGGAGUUAUAUGUCAAGAAAAUGACGGUAGCAUAUGAAUAAGCGCCGGCUAACUCCGUGCCAGCAGCCGCGGUAAUACGGAGGGCGCAAGCGUUACUCGGAAUCACUGGGCGUAAAGGACGCGUAGGCGGGUUGAAAAGUCAGGUGUGAAAGCCUACAGCUUAACUGUAGAACUGCACUUGAAACUCUCAACCUAGAGUAUGGGAGGGGCAGAUGGAAUUAGUGGUGUAGGGGUAAAAUCCGUAGAUAUCACUAGGAAUACCUAAAGCGAAGGCGAUCUGCUGGAACAUUACUGACGCUAAGGCGUGAAAGCGUGGGGAGCAAACAGGAUUAGAUACCCCCGUAGUC